UGGGGCUUUCUUUCUGUGUCCAUGUCACUGCCAUUGUGAUGUGGACAAUUCUAUAUUGCCGUCCAGUGCCAGGAUCCUCUCAAGAUACAGAAGAGAGUCUGAAGGCAUUGGCAUUAGAGUGAGGGGCCAUAGACACAUCUGCAGCACUUCCCCUGCAUCCAGCAAUGAUGCCAGGGAGAGACCCUGACAGCAGACUGAGCACACACAUUAAUACACUGUCCAACUGGAGGUCCAGAUAUCGGUGGGGCAGAUGAAAUUAUAAAGUUUUCAAAUUCAGCAAAGAAAUCACUUACAGCAAGUAAAGAAACAAAGCAACACACCGCAAUAGUUGUAAGCGCCAUGAGUAAGGCCACUUUUCCUUCUGUAUCGAACUGUAAUGUAAUUGUACUGUCCCCCUUUAUAUUGUAAAGUGCUAUACAUACUGUUGGCACUAUAUAUACAGUGGAUAUAUAAAGUCUAAAGAAAUUUCAGGUUCCUGUGAUGUAAAAAAAAUUAAAAACAAGGAUAAAUAAUUUCAGAUUU